AUUCCAGCUCCAAUAGCGUAUAUUAAAGUUGUUGCGGUUAAAAAGCUCGUAGUUGGAGUUCAGGGUGAGCUCAGCUGGUCGGCCUAAUGGGUCAGAACUGGUUGACUCUCCCUUGGUUGUGGAUCCCUCCGGAGUUAAUUCUUCGGGUGUGGAGUCCACAUCGUUUACCUUGAAAAAAUUAGAGUGUUCAAAGCAGGCGUUUGCUUGAAUAUAUUAGCAUGGAAUAAUGGAAUAGGACGCUGGUUCUAUUUUGUUGGUUUUGAGAACCAGAGUAAUGAUUAAUAGGGACAGUUGGGGGCAUUCAUAUUUCAUUGUCAGAGGUGAAAUUCUUGGAUUUAUGAAAGAUGAACUUCUGCGAAAGCAUUUGCCAAGGAUGUUUUCAUUG
rnacentral:rRNA from 1 species